GUGGGGAAUAUUGGACAAUGGGCGAAAGCCUGAUCCAGCCAUGCCGCGUGUGUGAAGAAGGUCUUCGGAUUGUAAAGCACUUUAAGUUGGGAGGAAGGGCAGUAAGUUAAUACCUUGCUGUUUUGACGUUACCGACAGAAUAAGCACCGGCUAACUUCGUGCCAGCAGCCGCGGUAAUACGAAGGGUGCAAGCGUUAAUCGGAAUUACUGGGCGUAAAGCGCGCGUAGGUGGUUUUGUAAGUUGGAGGUGAAAUCCCCGGGAUCAACCUGGGAACUGCCUCCAAAACUGCAUGACUAGAGUACGGUAGAGGGUAGUGGAAUUUCCUGUGUAGCGGUGAAAUGCGUAGAUAUAGGAAGGAACACCAGUGGCGAAGGCGACUACCUGGACUGAUACUGACACUGAGGUGCGAAAGCGUGGGGAGCAAACAGGAUUAGAAACCCGUGUAGUCC
rnacentral:rRNA from 1 species